rnacentral:misc_RNA from 1 species
CCGAACAGUCGACACGAGUUGUUGCUGGCCCCUCGAACCGGGGGGCAUGUGCACGCUCUGUCUGCACAUCCAUUCACACCCGUGCACUCUCUGUAGUUCUGUGGUCAGGAGGACGGGGCUCUACGUCUUUACACACACGCUGUAGUGAAGUCUUAUGGAAUGUGUGCCGCGUUUAACGCAAUGAAAUA